AAUGGAAAAAGCAUGUCGAGAAUAUCUAAAUGGCCACAUUUGAGGCCCCCAUCGUUAAAAGAUGAGAUUUCAUGACAGUCUGAAGUUUUAAAAGAAUAAGGAAAUUUGUAUGGAAAAUGUUGCUGGAGAGCAAGACCUUGCUCUCAAAGCAACAUUUCCCAUACAGAACAUCUAAACUUUCCAAAC